rnacentral:rRNA from 1 species
AACGAACGCUGGCGGCAUGCCUAACACAUGCAAGUCGAACGAGACCUUCGGGUCUAGUGGCGCACGGGUGCGUAACGCGUGGGAACCUGCCUUUAGGUUCGGAAUAACUCAGAGAAAUUUGAGCUAAUACCGGAUAAUGUCUUCGGACCAAAGAUUUAUCGCCUUUAGAUGGGCCCGCGUUGGAUUAGCUAGUUGGUGGGGUAAAGGCCUACCAAGGCGACGAUCCAUAGCUGGUCUGAGAGGAUGAUCAGCCACACUGGGACUGAGACACGGCCCAGACUCCUACGGGAGGCAGCAGUGGGGAAUAUUGGACAAUGGGCGAAAGCCUGAUCCAGCAAUGCCGCGUGAGUGAUGAAGGCCUUCGGUGUAAGACUCUUUACUCGGGACGAUAAUGACGGUACCGAGAGAAUAAG